rnacentral:rRNA from 1 species
UCAAAAGAGGAAAGGCUUACGGUGGAUACCUAGGCACCCUGAGACAAAGAAGGGCAUAGUAAUGAAUGAAAUGCUUUGGGGAGUUGAAAAUAAGCAUAGAUCCAGAGAUUCUCGAUUAGGGAAACCUUUUGAAUUGCUGUUGAAUCCAUGGGCAAGAAAGAGACAACCUGGUCAACUGAAACAUCUUAGUAGCUAGAGGAAAAGAAAGCAAAAGUGAUUCCCGUAGUAGCGGCAACCAAAAUGGAAGAAGCCUAAACCGUGAAAAUGGGGUUGUGGGAGAGAAAUACAAGCGUCGUGCUUCUAGGCGAAGCAGAUUGAAUGCUACACCCUAGAUUGCAAAAGUCUAGUACACAAAAGAAUGACGAGUUUAUGCUCUGACCCGACUAGCAUGGGGCACGUGGAGUCUUGUGUGAUUCAGCAAGGCCCACCUUGAAAGGCUAAAUACUCUUGGGUGACCGAUAGUGAAGUAGUACCGCAAGGGAAUAGUGAAAAGAACUCUAUUACAGAGUGAAAAAGAAUAUGAAACUGUAAGCUCCCAAGCAGUGGGAGGAGCAAGGUUUCUUACCGCGUGCGUGUUGAGGAAUAAGUCGGCGACUCAUAGGCAAUGUCUUCGUUAAGGGAACCCAUGGGAGAUGUAGCGAAUGUGAGUCUGCAUAGGGAAAUUGUCACAGUUUAUAGACCCGAACCUACGUGAUCUGUCCUUGACCAGGAUGAAGCUUGGGUGAAACUAAGUGGAGGUCUGAACCUACUGAUGUGAACAGAUCAUAGGAUGAGUUGUGGUUAGGGUUGAAAUGCCACUCAAACCCAGAGCUAGCUGUUUCUCCCUAAAAAGCAUUUAGGUGCAACAGUUGACUUGACAUCUAGGGUAAAGCACUGUUUCUGUACGGGCCGCUAGAGCGGUACCAAAUUAAGGCAAACUCUUAAUACAAGAUAUGAUCUCAAAAUAACUGGAGUGAAGGUCAGCUAGUGAGACGAUGGGGGAUAAGCUUUAUCGUUAAGAGUAAACAACUCGGAUCACCAGCUAAGGCCUAUAAAUGACCGCUCAGUGAUAAAGCAGGUAAGAGUUUGGAGACAUCCAGGAGGCUUGCCUUGAAGAAUCCACCCUUGAAAGAGUAUGUAAUAACUCACUGAUCGAGCACUCUUGCGAGGAAUAUGAAUGGGGCUAAGUAGUCUGCCGAAGCUAUGGGAUGUAAAAAUGCAUCUGUAGGAGAGCAUUCCGCCUCAGAGAGAAGCCUCCACGCGAGCAAUAGUGGAAAAAGCGGAAGCGAGAAUGUCGGCUUGAGUAACACAAAAAAGUGUGAGAAUCCAAUCCCUUGAAUGCCUAAGGGUUCCUCCACAAGGUUAGUCCACGAAGGGUGAGUCAGGUCCCAAGAUCUAGACGAAAGGCGUAGUAGAUGGACAACAAGUGGAUAUUUCUGUACUACCCUUUUUUAGUCCCAAGGGACUAAAGUUGCUAGGUUUACCAAAAGAUGGCUAUCGGUUCAAGAACGUAUGAUGCGCCUGCUUUUUUAGGGAAAGAAGAGGAAGAGAAAUACCUCAACCAAUGUUCGUAUACCAAGCGCUACGUCGCUAAAGUAACCCAUGUCAUACCCGCAAGAAAAGCUCAAACAACGUUAAGCAAGAGGGUACAUGUACCUGAAAUCGACACAAGUGGGUAGGUAGAGAAUAUCUAAGGGAUUGAUAAAACUCUCUCUAAGGAACUCGGCAAAAUAUCCCCGUAACUUAAGGAGAAGGGGUGCCUCCUUACAAAAGGGGUCGCAGUGACCCGGCCCGGGCAACUGUUUACCAAAAACACAGGUCUCCGCAAAGUUGUAAGACCAUGUGGGGGGGGGGGGAUAACGCCUUCCUAGUGAGGGAAGGUCAAGGAUGUUGGUGACCUGAUGACAAGGGAGUCGGUGGCCAAAUCCGCAGUGAACGGCGGUCGUAACUAUAAUGGUCCUAAGGUUUGUAAAAUUCUUUAUUAGGUAAUUUCCAACCUGCACGAAAGGAAUAGCGAUCUAGGCACUGUCUCGGAGAGAGGCUUGGUGAAAUAGACAUGUAUGUGAAGAUGUGGAAUACAUUCACCUUGAUAGAAAGACCCUAUGAAUAUUCACUGUUACCUCGGAUUUGCUUUGGGCCUUUCCUAGGAAACCUAGGUUACAUUGAAUGUAAAAAUAUGCAUGUCGGAAUGCGAAAACAACUUAAGCAUGAAAAGAUCAAGAAGAAACACUUACCUUUUCUCUGCUCAACUCAUGAAUAACAUAACUCAAUAUAACUGACUCAUUUCAAUAUAAAGCAAUUUAAAAGCAGGAAACUAUAAAGAAAUGUUUUGUGAAAACAUUUUGUAAACUCUGAUUGUAUACAAGGAUACAAUAAACUCUUAGAUGUAUGUUAAAAUACAAAUAAACUAUUGUAUAUAUAUGAAUACAUUUAAAUCUUGUGGGACAUUCUAUAACCAACAACCAUAACUAAAGUGCUAUAGGGAUGAUACAUCAAUCUACCUCCCACUGCCAGCACAUUUUAUACCCAUCCAAAGGUAAAAUACAUGAACUACCUAAUGGAUCUUGUAGUCCACUAUUAAAAGGAUUAAUAAAAAACUAGGACCCUUUUAUAUCCAUGGUGGCUACAUGGUUUUAUAAAGACGUGAGUUAUCUGAACUCAUGCUCGACCCAAGUUU